CUCAAGCAAGACUGCCUCUUCUUCUCCUUCGUAAAUACAGUACUAGUAAGCGUAUACUAGCACUAGCUAGUAAGCCAUGGCGCCGACCGUGAUGGCCUCCUCGGCCACCUCCGUGGCUCCAUUCCAGGGGCUCAAGUCCACCGCCGGACUCCCCGUCAGCCGCCGCAUCAGUAGCACCGGCUUCGUCAGCAACGGCGGAAGGAUCAGGUGCAUGCAGGUAAUAUAAUCGAUCGAUCUAGACACUGGAAUUCUUGCUGUUACGUUGUUCAUAUAAAUAAUACAACUCAAUAGGAAGUUUAGGAACUGAUAUGAGAGUGUCGUUGCUCAGGUGUGGCCGGCGGAGGGCAACAAGAAGUUCGAGACCCUCUCCUACCUGCCACCUCUCUCAACCGACCAGCUCCUGAAGCAGGUCGAGUACCUGAUCCGGAACAACUGGAUCCCCUGCCUCGAGUUCAGCAAGGUCGGGUUCGUCUUUCGUGAGAACAGCAGGUCUCCCUGUUACUACGACGGGCGCUACUGGACCAUGUGGAAGCUGCCCAUGUUCGGCUGCACCGAGGCCACCCAGGUGUACGCUGAGCUCGAGGAGUGCAAGAAGGCCUACCCUGACUGUUACAUCCGUGUCAUCGGCUUCGACAACCUCAGGCAGGUGCAAUGCGUCCUGUUCAUCGCCUACAAGCCCCCGGGCAGCGAGUAGACCGGCGCCGCCAAAUAAAAAGCUUAAAUACUGAGACUCUUCAGCUCCUGCAUGGGCAACCAUGAAGUGUCUGUUCGUUUUUUUUUUUGCUUCGUGUCACCUUGAUUUUGUUUUUUUUUUCCUUGCUUGCUUCUGCUGUAUCCAUGGCAUGCAUGCGGAUCUCUCCCCCCAACCGGAGAGUUAUCUACAUAGGACUAGCUACUAUACAACUAUCGAUCGUUGGGUGAGGAACAUGUGAAUGCUAGCUCCGGCUAUGAUAUGUAAUAUGGAUACUAGAGCAUACCCUGCCAAUCCGCCGACAAUACUAGAUCAUGGUUAAUUACUGGUGUUUUUGUCUAAUUUUUGUGUAUCUUUGCUCAAACUUACGCUUCUACGUAAAUCAAAUGUCAUGUAUCAGAUCAGUUGAGGAAAUAAAGGCUUACAAUACCUGUCCUUUUUAUUACCCCCGGUCAGAGUUGCAUACUUGCAACAAAUGAUUUGACAGUAAUUAUAAUUUGAUGGACUUAUAAAUUCUAGCUAGUUAAAGAGGAUGAGGCCAUUGAGUUCAAACACAUACUUUGUGAAUGAAAUGGAAAAUGUAUGUAUAAUUCAAAUAAGAACAAUGAAGUCAUUGAUACGACAAGUGCAAAGGCAGUGUGUUUUAUAUUUUAGAUCAUGCAUAGAGGUAAGAAUCAUACAACCACGCUCUUGUGUCUCCACUCCAUGAGAGAAGUCCUAGUAUCUAUCGGAGUGAAGAGUGAACUGUGUGAACAAGUUUCUUAAUUUUGAACAGAAUCAAUAUAGUAGUAAAUUGAUAUAGAAUAAUGCCAAGUCAGCAACUCAGCUUGCCACCACAUAUUCAUAGAUCGAUAGCACCAAAAGGCAGAUGACGAUGACCCUAAAAGGAUGUGAGACGAAAUAGGCCACGUGCGUCACUGCUUUUGAUUGGGCUCGUAGUAGUCAAUCUAGGCAUUCCCAUACCAUCCGACCUUGGAUAUUUUUAGGGCAUUUAGUUACUCAAGGUAACGAAUUACAUUUAAUGGUAAAUCGAUCGCUACGGGAGGAAGGAACUUUCGUCCACUCCGUUAGUACCGGUUGGAAUUAGCACCAGUAGAAAACACACCUUCCAUGCGCUUACUUUUAUCUCAGUUUAAAGUUGGCCCAGGACAAAAAGGGGCGUACCACGGUAAGUUGAAAUGGGGUGGAGUUUUAGUCACGGUUGGCAUUUGCAACCGGGACUAAAGUCCCCCUUUAGUCCCAGUUGUAACGGCUAGUUACCAGCCACCAACGGCGCUCCCCUUUUGUCCCGGUUGGAGCUUCCAACCGGGACAAAAGCACACCCCUUUUGUCCUGGUUGGAGUUACCAACCGGGACAAAAGGUUUACUCCCGGUUGGUAACUCCAACCGGGAUAAAACGGGGAGCUGUUUGUCCCGGUUGGUGUUUCCAACCGGGAGUAAACUCCCAACCAGGAUAAAAGGGGUUUGUUUUUGUCCCGGUUGGAAUUUUCAACCGGGACAAAAACUCCUCCCCUAUAAAAUCGUAAGACAGAGGCCUCUUCUUCCUCCUUCAGCCCGGGCCACUCCACUCCACAAGACAGAGAGCUUCAUCCUCCUUUCCAUGGCACCGAAGCAAGCCUAGGGGAGGUGCUGCCCAAAUUUUUUUCCUUAUUUCCGUGGGGAUUUUACUCAUCCAAAGUGUUGUGAAGGUUAGCUACUUCAUUCUCCUUUCAUUUAUUGUUAUUAUGCUUUAGAGAGGGAGAAAAAUGAGUUGGUUAGAAUGAGGAAGAAUGGAGAGGAUGUGUGUAUGCAAGCAGUGCUAAGGUAUGAAUUUUUGUACAUAUAGAUGGCUUCUGCUGCUGGAGGUAGUGGCAAUGGUGGGGGCGAUCAUCGUUCCUCUCGUGGCAAGGGGAAAAGCAUAGUUGGCCCGUGUGAUAAGCCAGAGAAAAUGAGCAUGUGGGAGAAAGCAAUGCUUCGUUAUUUGCAAAUAUGUCAUGAAGAUGCUAUUGCGGUGGGUCAGGAACCUCCUUUUGGUGGUCGUUAUGCUCUACCACCAGUCCCGGGUGUUUCACGUCCACUUAGUACUACCGUUGCAGGAGGCACAAAUAAACUACAGGAUGAGGCUGGGUCAGCGAAACCUUUGUCUUCGCCACCCAAGGAUGCUUAAAGUGAUCCUAGAUAGUACUCAGUGGAUGGUUUGUCAUAGUGCACCAUGUUGUUUGGAUCUGAAAUUUGAAUAUAUGUAUUUCUAUAUAUAUCUAAACUUUUAGCAUCAUUUGCACUACAAUGUUUGACAUGAUUUCAAUCGUGAAUAGCAUGUAGAUAAGUCGUAAAGCGUAUCAAAUAACCAUCAAUAUGAUGCGAAACGGAAAUGACACACUUACUCGCAAGAAGAGAAUAUAAUAUUUGUAAUCAUUGAAGAAUGAAGAAACAAUAUAUUUGAAUUGGUAAAAAAACAACUACCAUAUAACAUAAUAUUUAUAAUGUUGGCAAGAUAUUAGAGACCUGCAUGCUAAAAAUCAUAAUAAAAUUAGCUAUGUACAACAAAAAUAAAAAAAGAAAAAAAUGCAUAAUCCAUUUUCAUGCGUAAUACGAUGUAGAUGGACCGGCAAUGGAUGUAUAACAUGGACAGACGGAGCAAGGAGUUUGUUGAUGGCUUGCAUGAUUUUCUCAAAGUGGCCAAAGCGAACAAGUCAAAGAACGGGUUCAUAUAUUGUCCAUGCUUCAAAUGCAGUAACAAGAAGGACUAUUCACAAGCUUCCUGGGGGACAAUUCACAGCUACUUGUUUAGAUACGGUUUCAUGUGUAACUAUUUGGUUUGGACCAAGCAUGGAAAAAGAUGGGUUGUAAUGGAAGAUGAUGAAGAGGAGGAAGAUGACAACAUUUCGGACUGGGCUGCAGGCCAAGCUUUUGCAGAUACUACAAUGGGCGAGCCUGAUGAAGAUGAGUUUGCAGAAGACAGCUUUACUAAUGACCUUGGUUAGGUGCUACGGGAUGCACAUAGAGAUUGCGAAACUAAGAAGGAAGUAGCAAAGUUGCAGAGCAUGAUAGAUGAUCAUCAAAAAUUGUUUUACCCAGAUUGCCAGCAGGGCCAUAAAAAACUGGGUACUACAUUAGAAAUUAUGCAAUGGAAGGCCAAAAAUGAUGUGUCCGAUAAGUCAUUUCACAGGAUGUUGAAAAUUGUCAGGAAGAUUCUUCCCGAGAAUAAUGAAUUGCCGUCCACAACUUAUGAAGCUAAACAUAUUUUUUGCCCUCUAGGAUUGGAGGUUCAGAAGAUACACGCAUGCCCUAAUGACUGUAUCCUCUAUCGUGGUGCUGAAUACGAGAAAUUGGAUGCUUGUCCCGUGUGCGGAGCGCUGCGGUAUAAGAUCAGGCAAGAUGAUCCUGGUGAUGUCGAAGGGCAGCCUCCCAAGAAGAGAGUUCCUGAGAAGGUGAUGUGGUAUUUCACUAUAAUACCACGCUUGAAGUGCUUGUUCAGGAACAAGGCGAAUGCUAAGUUGAUGCGAUGGCACAAAGAAGAACGUAAGCAAGAUGAGAUGUUGAGACACCCUGCUGAUGGGGCCCAAUGGAGAUCAAUUGAUAGAGCAUUCCUGGACUUUGAAAUUGAUGCAAGGAACAUAAGGUUUGGUUUAAGUAUUAAUGGAUUCAAUUCAUUUGGUGAGUUGAGUAGUGGUCAUAGUACUUGGCUUGUGACCCUAUGUAUGUUCAACCUUCCUCUUUGGCUGUGUAUGAAGCGGAAGUUCAUUAUGAUACCGGCACUUAUCCAAGACCCAAAACAACCCAGCAACAACAUUUACAUGUACCUAAGAUCGUUGAUUGAUGAACUUUUAUAGCUCUGGAAGGAAGAAGGUGUACGUGUGUGGGAUGAGGAUAAAUAAGAGAUCUUUAACCUAUGAGCAUUGUUAUUCAUAACCAUCAAUGAUUGGCCUGCACUUAGUAACCUUUCAGGACAAACAAACAAGGGAUAUCGGGUCUGCACCCACUGUUUAGACGACACAUACAGCAUGUAUUUGAAGCACUGUAAGAAGGUCAUCUAUAUGGGUCAUCGUCAAUUUCUCCCUGCUAACCACCCGCUGAGAAAGAGAGGGAUGCAUUUCAAAGGGGUGCCAGACAAUCGUAAAAAACCUGCACACCAUAAUGGAAAGUGUGUCUUUGAGACAAUAAAGGAUGUAAGGGUAGUCUUUGGAAAGGGUCUUGGUAGCGAGCCUGUUCCGAACGACAAUAAUGGAUGUGCACCCAUGUGGAAAAAGAAGUCAAUAUUUGGGAGCCACCUUAUUGGGAAAUCCUAGAGGUCUGCAACGCAAAAGACGUGAUGCACCUGAUGAAGAAUCUUUGCGUUAACGUGCUAGGCUUCAUGGGUGUUUAUGGGAGGUCAAAAGAUACAUUGGAAGCAUGACAGGACCUGAAACGUAUGGGGCAACGAGAUGACCUACAUCCAGAAAAGAGAGAUAAUGGACAACACUACUUACAUCCUGCCAAUUACACUCUUAGCAAGGAAGAGAAGGAUAGCAUGUUUGAAUGCUUGAAUAGUAUGAAGGUCCCAUCUGGGUACUCCUCGAAUAUAAAGGAAAUAAUAAAUAUGAACGAAAAGGAGUUCAUAAAUCUCGAGGCCCAUGACUGCCACAUGUUGAUGAUCCAGUUGCUUCCAGUUACACUGAGGGGUGUUCUACCAAAGAGUGUCCGAUUGCUGCUUGUAAAGCUAUGCACGUUUGUCAAUGCGAUUUUGCAGAAGGAAAUUGAUCCAACCAAGCUAUUAAAGCUAUAGAACAAUGUGGUGCAAUGUGUUAUCAGCUUUGAGUUGAUAUUUCCACCAUCCUUCUUUAAUAUUAUGACGCACCUCCUAGUUCACCUAGUAAAAGAGAUUACUAUUCUCAGACCAGUAUACUUGCACAAUAUGUGGCCUUUCGAGAGGUUCAUGUCAGUCCUAGAAAACUAUGUUCUUAAUUGUGCCUGUGCCUGUCCAGAAGGAAGCAUCACCAAGGGAUAUGGAACAGAGGAGGUGAUUGAGUUUUGUGUUGAUUUUAUUGACUCAAUUGAUUCGAUUGGGGUUCUAACUUCACGCCAUGAGGAGAGGCUGCGGUGAAUGGGCACUCUUGGAAGGAAAUCAAGUUUGAGCAAUGAUACUGAUUUGUUCGAUAAGGCACACUACACUGUUUUGCAACAGUCAUCCUUUGUGGCUCCAUAUAUCGAGCAACACAGGCAGAUCCUAGUUUCCAAAAAACCGACGAAAUCUGAUACCUAGCUUAUACAUCAUCACAUGGAUACUUUUCCCUCCUGGUUGCGUCAACAACUUAUGGGUAACUCUGAGAUUCACCCACAGCUCACUUGGUUAGCCAGGGGACCUUCUAGCACAAUCGUGAAAUUCCAAGGCUACGAGAUAAAUGGUUAUACAAGUUACACAACCCAAGAUCAGAAAAGCAUGAACCAGAAUAGUGGUGUCCGUAUAGAUGCCAUAGACAGAAAUAGUAUAGCAAGGACUCGUAGUAUGGUUUCAUAGAGGAGAUAUGGGAACUCAAAUGCGAACCGCUGUACAUCGCUCUAUUUCAUUGCCAAUGGUUGAAGAUAACUGGCGUAACCAAAGAUCAAUAUGGAAUGACAAUAGUGGACUUGAGCAAGACUGGAUACAGUGAUGAACCAUUCGUACUUGCCAAUGAUGUGCAUCAGAUUUUCUAUGUGAAGGACAUGUCUAGCAAACCCAAGAGAAAUCCAGAAGAGCCAUAGGAGUCAAAGCACCACAUAGUUCUUCCAGGUAAAAGAAAAAUCAUGGGAGUCGAGGACAAAACAGACCAAAUAAAUGAUUAUGAUCAGUUUGAUGGCAUGCCUCUAUUCGCUGUUGAAGUUGACCCAAGCAUCAUGCUAUCCAAAGAAGAGGCUCCGUACUUACGCCGCGAUCAUGACCAAGGACCUUUCAUGAAUAAGAAGUUUUUUAACAUUACAUUGUAACACACUAAUUUUGCUUCACCUUUAUAUAAAGUUACAUUGUAAAGUUCUAUGAUUUCAUGUACUACUUGAUACAAUUUUUAAUUUAACGUAUCUAUGAUUUCAUGUGUGUUUAAUUAGUUGAGGUGAAGAUUUAUUCAAUCAAUAUGAACAAUGUUAACCACAUACAUCAACUGAAUUUUUCACACAUUGAAAUUAUUUAAUUUGAUGAUAGCGAUGCAAUAAAAUAAUUAUUUUAGAAGCUAGAAGAACUAUUAUAGAAUUAAUGACUCAUUCAAACUUAUUGUAAAUAUACUUACUAAUUUAAUAUAUUUUUGCAUGUUCGAAAUAUGUAAAGUUCUUAUUUUUUCUUUCCUGAAAUCUAGUGAAAAACAUAUAUAAAAUCUAUUUCCCAAAAACAGGUGGGAGACGAAAAAUAGGAAAAGACCCUUUUGUCCCGGGUGCCAAUUGCAACCGGGACAAAAGUUCCCCCUUUUAUCCCGGUUUUAAAUUGAAACUAGGAUAAAAGGGUAGUUUUCGAUUCCCGCUCGGAACGUACCCUUUUAUCCUGAUUUUAGUUUGCAACCGGGACAAAAGUUCCUUUAGUCCCGGGUUUAAUUAGGAACCGGGAUAAAAGGGGGGGCGAUAAAAGUAACAGUCAUCUUCUACCCCAUUGUAACAUCCCUAGUUUAAGUGAAAUAAUUCAAAGGUUAAUUGAAGUGAUUAAGGGUACAAAUCGCACAUAAACUCUAAACCUUGCCAUGUGUAAAAUUCAAAUGCACUUAAAACCUUGGAAAACUCACAAGAAGGCAAAUUGAAGUCAAAUGGGACCCAGCAAGAAACCAAUGUGAAAACCAGCAAUUUUAGGUUGGGAAGGUAGAAAAACACCCCAAAGUUCAAAUCCCAACCUUGAAAGCUUUUCAAACACAAAGAAUGAAAAAUGCCUCAAAAAGCACUUCUUGGGGGUAGAUGUUAAAAAUAGAAUUUUAUACAAGAACUCAACUUUUGGCUAAUAUGAAAGUUGUAGAACAUUUCAAAACAAGCAACUUUUGUUAGUUGCACAUCUUCUGAUUUUGAGUGGAAGGCCUUCAAAUUUCAGUUCAAAAUUCAGAAAAUUUGGGGAAAAGUUCAAACUCAACCAUGUCUGGCGUUCCACCAAACUUCCAAGCUUUCUAUCUCCUUUUCUGUUGAGUUUUUGACACAUGAGCCUUCGUAGGAGUUAUAGAGUCAGCUUUGGACAACAAGUUUUGUAUUUGGAAAUAUUGAAGUUUCAAUUCAAAAUUUGGAGAAAAAUCGAUGCUAACAUGCUGCCCUCGCUCACCACAGCGUCGCCCACGUGCACCGGCGCCGGUGACUGCGCAUGGUGCGUUGCGUCGUGCCACGCGGUGCCGUCCCGCUCACGCCACACCCCGACCUGUCACCGCCAGUGAUGGGAUCUGACCUUCCCCAGCGCUGCCCACUCCCUGCGCGCGCAAUCCUUACCCUCCGCCGUACAUCUCUCCCUGGCCAAUUGCCGCGACACGCCCACGUGUGCUCCUGCCCACGUCCCCGCGUUCACCGCCAUGUCGCGCCGCGCCACCAGCUCCGCCGUGAUGGCCAAUACCGCUGAUGAGGUGAUGACUCGGGCUCUCCCUCCAAGCCAACUCUCGCGUGCGACAACAAGCAUCUCCGCAGCUCCGCAUUCUUCCCCGGCCACUCCCUACAGCCCGCCCACGCACGCGCCACUACCAGCCACUCCGGCGCGCCGCUCUUUUGCUUUGCCAGUGCCUGGCUGCCUUCGUGCGCCCCGGCGGGCCUCAGCCCCGCAGAUGCCCUAUACACCCUCCUGGCACCCUCCCCACGCUAUAAAAGGAGGCCCAGCUCUCUUCGCGCAACCCUCCACCACCACCCCUCUCUACCGAAGCGCCGUCGUUGCCACCAGAGCCCUCGCCGUCGAGCUAGCCCUCCCGAGCAUCGCCACCGCCUACUAGCCCCUCCGGUUCAACUCUUACACCCGCGCAGCUUCACGAGCCGCUACCCAGCCUCCUCUACCACCGCCGGUGCCGGAGCAGAGACUCCCCCACCACCGCAUAACCCUCACCGUGGAACGCCGUCGUCAAGCCUCCUCCGCCCACGUUUCCUUCAUCGUAUCGAACCACGGUGAGCCUACGACUGUGCCUAAGCCCAUUCCCCCUCCUGUUGUCGCCGCCGCUCACCGGAAUUUCACCGGCAAGCCGCCGGCGAGGUCUGAAGACCAAUUUGAGAGCCCCAAAAUCUUCCUAAGGUCUAAAUCGUAAAAUAGCAGGACCGCUCUAUGAAAGUUUAACAGUUCCAGGGGCCUUUCUGCGAAACAUUGGAAAUGUGUAGGAAUUUUUAAAAAGAUGGUAAAAAUGUGAAAUCAAUUUUGUUAGACUCCUGAUGCACAUGGCUAACUAGGAAAAAUACUUUCUUUUGUAAUAUACAUGUUUUACCUUACUUAAAUAAAUGCAUGUGGUUUAAUGUACUUUUUAUGUGAUAAAUAGUUUUCAUGCUCUUUAAAUUCUGGAAAAAUUUACAGUAGCCUCUGUUAGUGUUGGUAACCCUUCUGUAAAAUUUGUGGAACCACACUAAUGAUGAAGCUCUAGAUAAAAUUCUUUCUUCAUGUUUUGCAAUCUAAUGUUGUUUGGUUUUUAGUAAAUUUUGUAAACACCAAAUGCAUCUUAAAUUUUUUUAGUAGAUCGCUUGAGUAAUAAUGAAGCUUCUGUAAAAAUUCAGAACAUAUCUUAUUCGGUCCUUCCAAAAACAUUUUUUAAGUAAUAUCUAGUUAAAUGGAAUUAUAACAAAUGUUAAAUAGGAAGGGUAUAAGGGUAAAAGCUCUUUUAAGUUGUUUAAAAAUUCAGAAACAAGAUAACUUUCCAAAUGAAUGUUGAGCAACCCUAAACUGACCCCAUCUUUCUUUUGUGAAGUCUAAGUUGUUAAAAUAUUAUAUGUGUACACAAUCAGCAUCAAAGUCAACCCCGGGUUUUAAAUCACAACACACCUUACUUCAUGAAUUAAAUGAAAGUUGGAAUCUUGUCCAGGUGAAUGUGGUCAAAAGGCAAUUUACACUUCUGCAAUAUCAUCUGAAAUACAUCCUGCCUAUGAAAUCUUGAAUUAUUGCAUAUGCAUCUCGUGUAGAAGCGAACCUUGCUGACGGGACAUACGAGCUGCUUCUGAUGACAGAGGAGGAACCUGCCAAGCUACACUAGAUUGAGAUCGAGCAAGACCCCAGCCAAGCUUCCGACGACCCUCCUACUAACCUAGUUCAGGAAGGCAAGCCUCGGAGCAUAACCCUUAUUCAAAGUUUAUGCAAUAUCUAUGAUACUUAUGUUUGUGCAUUUAAGUUCAUAGGAGUUGCUUGAAACCAUAGCUGCAUGAUCUUAAGUACCUAUGUUUGAAUAGUAAUAUGACAGGUCGAGUAGCUACAAUGCUAAAUAGGGACCCGGUAAAAGUCAAGUGAUUUCCUGUCACUCACGAGUUAUAGGAGUUGUUUGCCUACUUAUGUUCUCACCAUAAGGACGACAGAUGGGGCUGGACUUUUGGUUCUGACUCGGUGGAAUUUAUCCCGUCUAUCUAGGAGAAAGCUGCUAAGGUCGGAAUAUGUCUAGAGCUGUGGUCAAGUGUUUGAAAGUACUAAUCUCAUACCUAGUUUGGGAUGGGGAAGCCUAGUACCUGAUUGAACCGGGACGUGAGUAGACCGCCCCACUCUCUCUAGAACUUGGUUCCCCUGAUGCAUCAUGUGGGUUCAAGGGCAGUCACGGUAUAAUGUCGUCUAGGACCGUGGGGCAUUGUAUCCAAGGGAAGUGUCCCUAACAUGUGCUUGGGGAUUGAUGGGGAUGGCUGACAUGUAUGGACCCGGUGUGGUAUUCAUAUGUUGUGGGGUUAGGUUCACCUUGCAAGGUUAUGAAACUCGAUUCGAAUCGUCUGCCUCUCACAGUUUGAGACUGCUUGACUGCACUUCUGUACUGAGUAAGAAUAGAACUGAGGAUGAUUAUCAUAAUGAUGAUGCUUGGAAUAAAAUAUUUGAUCACCAUCUUGAUUAGAAUAGGUGCUUACUUAGAAUGAAUAAGCAACUAGAACUUGAUGCUAAAACUUGAAAGUAAGAACCUAAUUUAGUUGCUUUUGGCAAAACAAAUCCCUCGGCAAAAAAGCCUUGCAUGUCUAGAAGCUGGUGGAGUAGUUACCGCCCGACGGUUAAGUCUUGCUGAGUAUUAGUAUACUCAGCCUUGCUUGUGGCUUUGUUUUCAGGAAAUAUGGUAGAUGUCGAUGAAUGUGCUGCUAGCUUGACUUGGCUGACCCAGCUCCCUCCAGGUUCGACGGUCGAGUGGGACCUGUCCUCGGUUGGCAAGGAUCGCGGUAACUGAUGACAUGGUAGGCUUCACCAUGCCAUCUCUGCUUUGACGUCUAGAUUGUCUCUUUAUUUCCGCUGCUUGAACUCUGAACAACUUUACUUUAUGCAAUUUCAAACUCUUGUGGUGUAAUAAUUAAAGUGGGACCUAUGUUAGUCUACGUGGAUUGUUGUAACCUCUGGACUCGCCUUCAUGUGAGUAUGCUUUGUUUCGAUCCGAGACAAGUGGUUUAUCGGGUGAAACCCAACAGACUACCAGGUUAACUUAAUUGUCAGUUCGCAUGUGAGGCGAAGUUGAGCACACUUUAGCUGGGUUCAUUUGGUUAGUUCUGCCACACCCCCACCCUUCAACACUUAGGAAAAUUUUUCACCGCCACCAAGAUUUGCACCCGUCCGCCUGCUCCGUCACCGUCGAUCUCCCAUCACCGCCUGUCCGCUUCCCUCGCCGGCCGCUGUUCUCUUCGUUGCCCGCCACCCCGGCCACCGUUGCCCGCCGGCCCUGGCUCCCGCAUGUACGGCGGGCCCCUUACUGACGCAAGCCACAGGCUUGCUGACGCAAGGGCCUUUUUUAUUUUUUAGUUAGAAAAUCAAUAGAAAUUUGUACAAAUCAAUAGAUUAGUAAAAAAUCAAUAGAAAAUUAAUAUUAUUAGUUGAAACUCAGUAGGAAACUACUAUGAUUAGUAGGAAAUUAGUAUAAUUUAGUUCAGAUGCUUAGUAUAAUUUUGUAUAACUUUAAGAAAUUACUAUGUUUUAUUAUAAAUGAUUCAAAAAUUAGUGGAAAUUUGUAGAAAUGCUAAACACUUAUUUCUAGUAUAAAUGCUUAGUCUAUUUUUUUUAUACAUUUGGUAUAAUUUUUAUUACGUUACUAUAAUUUAGUACAAAUACUUCAAAAAUUAGUAAAAAUUUCUAGAAAUUUUGUAGAAAUUCUUACAAAUUACAAGAAAUUUGUAGAAAUUUGGUAUAAAUGCUUAGAAAUUAGAAGAAAUUUGGUAGACAUUCUUAGAAAUUAUUAAAAAUUUGUAGAAACACUUCGAAUUUGGUAGAAUUUCUUAGAAAUUAGUAGAAAUUUGUAGAAACAUUUAAAAUUUGGUAGAAAUUCUUAGAAAUUUGUAUAGACACAUCAAUUUUGGUAGAAAUUCCAAUAAAUUAGUAGAAAUUUGUAUAAACACUUCAAAUUUCGUAGAAAUUCUGAGAAAUUAGUAGAAAUUUGUAUAAACACUUCAAAUUUGGUAGGAUUUAGUAGGAAUUAGUAGAAAUUUGUAGAAACACAUCAAAUUUGGUAGAAGUUUCUAGAAAUUAGUAGAAAUUUUAAGAAACACUUCAUGCAUGAUUCAUUAAAGACUUUCAUGUUGUUGUAUGAUUUCAUGUAUAUACCUUAACGUACAUGUAACUAUGAUUUCAUGUAACACAUUAAAGACAUUUCAUGUAAGUUUCAUUCAAGACAUUCUUAUGUAUUUCUUGUAAGUUUUCAUGUAAGUUUCAUUUCGUGUAUGGUUUCAUGUGUACAUUUCAAUCAAUUUGUUUUUUUCAUGAUUGUUCUAUGAUUUCAUGUAUAUACCUUAACGUACAUGUAACUAUGAUUUCAUGUGUGUUUAAAGUAGUUGAGAUGGCAGACGACGAGACCGCAAGGUAUCUAAUGGAGCAUAUUAGUGCUGAUAUGGGUAGUGACUCCAACCUUCCCGUAAUGUACACCGAUGAAGAGGUAACCAGGCGGACAUGUUCCUCAACAUGUCUGGUGAUGGCAAUGAAGAGCCUGAGCCCCAGCAAAACCUUACCGUGACGGAAGGUUUCGACGAGGUAUAUAUCAUUUCCAAUGUUUUACCCCAUCUAUAAUGUCUUAUUCGUUAUUACUAUGUACUAAUUAAUGGAUCUUGAACUGUUAGCCCUCUGGAUCGACGCACUGUUAGAAGGCCCGAGGUCGUACAAGGGUGAUGGAUGGCAGGCUUAUCAUCAUGGAAGUCACAAAAGAGGGUAGGCUGGUUGCUCCCGAAAAAAUGGCAAAAAAGUACAUGACUCAGAUCGAGGCAAUCUUAAGGGACAACAUGCCCAUCAGCAUCAGGGAAUGGAAGGGCAAAAGUACUAAUCCAUACGCGCUCCCGGAUAUAGAAAAGAAUAUGCUAUGGGAAGAUGUCAAGAAGCAUUUCACAUUUCUCGAAGGAUGUAAUGAAGAUGAUGUGAAAUUGUGGAUGUUGAAGAAGAUGGCCACACAAUUCCAGACAUUCAAGAAGAUGUUGGAUGCCAACUUCAUCAAGAAGGGCCAAACUCUGGAUUUCGAUGAUUGGCCAAAGUUGAGGGACCAUUGGGAGGCAUUUGUUGAAUACAAGAUGAGCGAAGACAGUGCGAAUAGGGUCAAGACCAACAUUGCUGAUGCUGGCAAGAAGGAGUACCAUCAUCGUUUAGGGUGAGGUGGUUAUGGCACAGCAAUUCCCAGAUGGCACAAGAUGGAACAAGACCUGAUCGAUCAGGGUAUCGUACCAGCAACUAUUGAAUGGCCUGAUCGAUCGAAAAAUUUGUAUUACGCUCAUGGAGGCUUCCUGAGCCAAGAGAGCCUCUUGAGCCAAGAGGAUGGGAUGCUGAUCUUCAAUGAGACAAUACAUCAGAAGGCUCAAAGGCUUAUCAAGAACAUUGAAGAUGCUAAGGCUGGGAGGUUAAAGGUGGACUGAGAGAAUGAUGAGCUCACAUUGGCCCUUGGGAAUCCCAAGCACCCAGGAAGUUGCCGAGGGUUCGUGGUCAUUCCGUGGAAGUUCGCUUUCUGAGGUGACAUCACCUCAUACAGAAGUCACAAGCAAAGAAAGGAAGAGGUUGAGGAGAGCUGGCGGCGCAUGCUAGAAUCCAGAGUGCAUUCACAAGAAGUAUGAAUGAAGGAGAAAAUCAUCGUUGAGUGGCCCUAGCAGUUGCGGAGUUGGCCCAAUCUAGAGCAUUGCCGGAUCCAAACAUCCCCAGCCCUUCUCAAUGCCUCGGGAGCAGCUAUGCUUCCACAGGGAUCCCCGAUCCAUAGAGACCAAGAUUACCUGUGGACGACGGUUUGGUGUGAAUGUCAUCACGCAACGCACCUCAUGUGAGCUGCAUACACCGGUCGGCAACCUCACCAUUAAGGUAUACUUAUACAUAAUAUUUAUGCAAUCUUCUGAAUCCAUCCACACCUCGGGAUCGGAGUUUAAUAACUUCUUUAUUUAUGUUAUAUGUAUAGGUGGCGUACGGGAGUGCCUUACCAAUCCUGCCAAGGCAGACAAGCCAUGGCAUGGAGAUUUCACCUGGCUAUGCUAGCGUCGGCCUAGAGCAGCUCGUUGAUAGCCAAUAUAAAGGCCUAGAGCUCGACCUCCCGAGAGGCAACGAGGAAAGGACACUAGGAGAUGCGCUUCACGUAAUCAUUCUAUGGCGCAAACGCUACAUCAUUAUCCCUGGCACAAAGGCAUCUCCUCAAAGGUCAAGACCGCUCCUCACAGAUCCCCAGCAGCGACCAUCUCCUCAAAGGUCAAGACCGUCAUCUGCACCACGACCUGCUCCAGGACCGUCAUCUCUAGCACAACCUGCUCUAGGACCGUCGUCACCACUGGGACCGUCGCUUCCUGCUCAAUCAAGGUCUCCAUCUCCACCACAUCCUGGUGGUGUGAGCGACGACAACGACAACAACACUCCUCCCCGAUCACCGUCACUUGGACUAAGAGCAGACCCAAGCAAGGAACCGGUAGCACCAAUUAAGAAGUCAUGACCACCGCCUCCCAAGCCAAGACAGAGAAAGAAGAAAACAAAGGAGCCUGAAGUGACUCCUGAGGAAAGCUGGGAGGCAAUGAGUCAAGCGGAGCGCUGCGCCCAAACCCAAGCAGAAGCCAGAGAGUGGUUCAGGAAAAGGGCUGAAGAAAAAAAAGCAAGGGAGAUGGAGCCACCACCAGUACAUCGAAGAGAACUAAAUUUUUUUAUCCGGAUGCAAUGAGAAGCCAAAAAGAGGAUAUCACUACUACCGAACUACGAACGAGUGCUAAUCAAGGCUGAUGAGAAGAAAAAAAGGAAAGGAAAGUCGUCUUCAAGGGGUGCUAUCCCCCACCUUGGGCAUCUACCAGAAAGAGACGCUAGAAAGAUAGCAGCAAUGCCCUUGGAUCAACAAGCAGAAGUAUUGAAUUCAUGGAAGAAAUAGGUAUGGGACUUGCUGAAUGUCUAGGGCAAGCUGAGCUGCCUGCUGCACCACUAGUUGAACCAAAAUGGAUAUUUGAGAUAGGCAAGCCUCUGGUAAGGCCUGAGUUGGUAUGGAAGCUAUCAGCAAAUAUGUAUGAAUUCCAUGAAUGGUACAUGAAGUCUCUCUGAUCAGCGCCUGGGCUCUGUAAGUGUCUGUUAAUCUAUAUGUAAAUUUUGGCUCAUAUCAUUAUUUUUUGUGCGUGCGUCAUCGUACUAACUUUGUCUUCCAUUUUAUGUAGGAUGCUAAUUCAAAUGUGACUUCAUCUUCCAUUUUAUGUAGGAUGCUAAUUCAGACGUGCCGAUGAGAAGUGUACCUCUAUGUUGGCUUCAUGGAUCCAUCCCUAGUUAACCAAAAACAGAUACAGGAGCAGCCAGAGAAAACGUUGGUGGAAGUAUAUAAUUUCCUAUACAAACAAAUAGGAUUUCAUACUACUUCCAUACAACUUCAAGUAAGUGUGUGUAUACCGUCUAUUUUCAUUUUCUUUUUCCUUACUUUAUUAAUGUUAGUUAGCUCUAAUAUAUAUGAACAUUUACGUACGCAGCUACCACUGGAUCCUCAUAAUAAUUGAGCCUGAAAGAAGCCACGUCACUGUCUUCGAUUCAUUGAGGAAAGCUCCAAUGAAGUACCAAGACAUUCAAGACAUGCUAGGCUAGUAAUAAUUUUGGACCUUUAUCUCUAUGCAAAAGUUUGUUUCCUAAAUUUUCACCUAACACUAUAUCAUUCAUUAUUGUAAUCUGCAGCGCAUGGCGAGAAUUCAUUAGGAAACACAACGGUCCAUACAAAGAAAAUCUUACAUGGAACACAGCCUUCCCGAUAUGUAUGAAGUUUGCACAUUUUGUACAUUCUAUAGUAUGGAUAUUUCAUAACUUAUUUUUUCCCCAUUAAAGUGCUUAAGAUAGGAACCCGAGAAUAAUAUAUGUGGCUACUACAUUUGUGAGCACAUGCAUGGUUUUGUGGGAUCCAAGGGAAAGAUGACGCCGCAUGACUAUAAAGUAUGUAAAAUAAAACUAUUAAUAGUUAAUUAUUUUCUACCUCCUUAUAUUUAAUUGUUAGUGUAAAAUUCACAUUUUUCCAAAUGAUAGAUGUAUAAUAUUCAACAGGGAGUCUUGAGGAAGGAAAGAGUAGCAGCAAUAUGUGAAGGUCUCGUUGGAUUCCUAUUGGACGAGGUGGUAAAUCCACAAGGAGAAUUUUAUUACGAUGGACAAAAAUUAGUCGCACCGAGCAACACCUCGACAGGAAGAUCCAAUAUAGUUUAAUUUGAUUUGUAUAACACACUAAGAUUUGUAUAGUAUGCUAAGAAUUGUAUAUAUACUAAGAAUUGUAUAUAUAGGAAUUGUAUAAAUACUAGUUUGAUUCGUUUAAAUACUAGUUUGAUUUCGUUAUAAAAAAAGUCUCAACUACUAAAGGUUAACUAAAGGGGUACGUACGUGAUGCAUGAAAUUACAAGCGCCUGCAUGGUGCGCGUUUGAAAUUUCAAGCAUGACUUUAGUCUCUGUUGGAAAAACCAACUGGGACUAGAGGGCCCCCCUUUAGUCCCGGUUGGUAAAACCAACCGAGAGUAAAGGGCCUAUCCCGCGCCUAGCAUUGCAGCCCCUUUAGUCCCGGUUGGUUUUUCCAACCAGGACUAAAGAGUGUCUUUAGUCCCAGUUGAGUGAUCUGGAACUAAAGACCCCCCCCUCCCCCGUCUCGAUUGCUUUAUCCCGGAUGGAUAUUCGGUAGAUUUGCUCCCUACCAACUGGGACUAAAGGCAAGUUUUGCACCAGUGUGAGCGCGGUACUAAUGUGAGCAUUAGUAACGGGCCUAACAGCUAGUACCCCUGGGCCACCCUGUUACCCCCUUGAGUACCGGUUGGGGGAACCAAUAAUAAAGGCUACACAUUAGUACCGGUUGGUUCUGCCACCCGGUACUAAUGUGCCAUCGAGCCUUUAGUACUAGGUAGGGUCACCAACCUGUACUAAUGUGUACCCUUUAGUACCUGUUGGUUCCCCCAACCGGUACUAAAUUUUCUCCUAUAAAUCCUCCUUCUUCUUCCUCCUACCCGAGACAUUCACCACAGCUCGAGCUUCAUCCUAUCCAUGGCUCCAUAGGGAAGGUGCUGCCGGAUUGAAGAGCAUUUAGUGGGACCCAUUCAAGUGUUCUAAAGGUGAGAAAAUUCAGCCUUUCUUGAUAUAUGGUUAGUAUACUAAUUUUAUGCUUUAUAGCUAGAGUAAUUUGUUUUUUUAGAAUAAGGUACAAUGGGGAAAUUUUUCAUUCAUAUGCAUGUGUUAUUUGGAGGUCAUAUUUGUGAUUUUUAGAAUAAGCUAUAAUUUUUUGGAUGCUAUGUUUUCAUAUUAGUCAAAGAAAUGGAUAUGAGAUUAGAAGAAUAAUUUCAUAGUGGCACAUGUGAGCGAGAUAAAUUGUGGUACAUAGAGAUAAUAAGAUGAAAUAGAGGUAUGUAAUUAGUCAUUUUUACAAUAAGCUACAAUGAAGAAAAUUUUCAUUUAAAUGUUAUGUUUGAGCUAAGUAAAUUGUGGGGGAAAAUAUAGAAUUUAUUUAUAGUUUAGUCAUUUGCAAAUAGGAGCUAAAUAAAUUUUGGUACAUAGAUAUGGCUUCUGCUGCUGGAGGUAGUGGUGAUGGUAGGGGUGAUCGUCGUUCCUCUUGUAGCAAGGGGAAAACCAGAGUUGGCCUUGAUGAUAAGCCAAAGAAAAUGAGCACGUGGGAGAAAAUAAUGCUUUGCUAUUUGCAAAGAUGUCAUGAAGAUGCAGUUGCGGCAGGUCAGGAACCUCCUUUUGGUGGUCGUUAUGCUCCACCGCAAGUCCCGGGUGUUUCACGUCCACUUAGUACUACCAUUGCAGGAGGCACAAAUAAACCACAAGAUGAGGCUGGGUCAGUGAAACCUUCAUCUUCGUCGCCCAAGGAUGCUUAAGUCCUCCUAGAUAGUACUCAGUGGAUGGUUUGACGUAGUGUAUCAUGUUGUUUGGGUCUAAAAUUUAAAUAUGUGUAUUUCUAUCUAUAUCUAAACUUUCAGCAUCAUUUGAGUUUGUCAUAGUGUAUCAUGUUGUUUGGGUCUAAAAUUUAAAUUUUUGUAUUUCUAUCUAAACAUUCAGCAACAUUUCAGUUUAAUGGUAUUUGUUUCAUGUUUGUUAUGUUUCAUUUAUAAUUGUAUGGAUGAUCAGAAUAUCUUUGGUUCGAUAAUAUUUUGUAGAUGGAUCGACAAUGGAUGUACAACGUAGACAAACGUUCCAUGGAGUACAUUAAUGGCUUGCAUGAUUUUCUAGAUUAGGCAGAAUCCAACAAACUGCCAUCCGGUUUUAUUUGUUGUCCAUGCAGAAAUUGCAAAAAUGAGAAGGAUUACUCAUCCAGAAAAACUAUUCACACCCACGUAUACAAUCCUGGAUUCAUGCCUAACUAUUUUGUUUGGACCAAACAUGGGGAAAGAGGAGUUAUGAUGGAUGAUGAUGAAGUAGAAGAAGAUGACAAUAUUCCUGAUUGGAUUCAAGGAGGUGCCUUUGCAGAGGCUCCAAUGGACGAGGCUAAAAAAGAGAUGGGCGAGGUAGAAGAUCCUAUCGAUGAUCUAGGUCAAGUGUUGUGAGAUGCAAAGGAAGACUACGAGAAUGUGAAGGAGUCAAAAAAGUUCGAGUGUAUGUUAGAUGAUCAUAAGAAAUUGUGGUACCCAUAUUGCAAACAGGGGCACAAAAAAUUCGGUACCACACAUGAAAUGCUGCAAUGGAAGGCAAAAAAUGAAGUUUCUAACAAGGGUUUUGAUGAGUUAAUGAAAAUCAUAAAGAACAUGCUUCCCGAGGGGAACGAAUUGCCGUCCUCAACGUACGAAGUGAAAAAGGUUGUUUGGCCUCUAGGUUUGGAGGUACAAAAGAUACAUACAAGCCCUAAUGAUUAUAAUCUCUAUUGCGGUGAGAAAUAUGAGAAAUUGGAGGCUUGUCCUGUGUGCAAAGCACUGCGUUAUAAGAUCAGGCGAGAUGAUCCCGAUGAUGUUGAGGGGCAGGCCAGCAAGAAGAAAGUUCCUACGAAGGUAAUGUGGUAUUUCCCUGUAGUACCACGAUUGAAGCAUUUGUUCAGAAAUAAGGCACAUGCAAAGUUGAUGCGUUGGCACAAAGAAGAACGUAAGCAAGAUGAAAUGAUCAGACACCCUGCUGAUGGGUCCCAGUGGAGAAGAGUUGAUAGAGAAUUUCCCGAGUUUGAAAAGAAUGCAAGGAACAUAUGGUUUGGUUUAAGUAUGGAUGGCUUCAAUCCAUUCGGUGAGUUCUGUAGUGGUCAUAGCACUUGACCUGUGACCUUAUGUAUGUUCAACCUUCCGCCCUGGAUGUGCAUGAAGCGGAAGUUCAUUAUGACGCUGAUAAUUAUCCAAGGCCCAAAACAAUCUGGCAACGACAUUGAUAUUUAUCUAAGACCGUUGGUUGAUGAACUUCUACUGUUAUGGAAGGAAGAAGGUGUAUGUGUGUGGGAUGAGGACAAAAAGGAGUCUUUUGAUCUACGAGCAUUGUUGCUCGUAACUAUCAAUGAUUGGCCAGCGCUUGGUAAUCUGUCCAAUCAGUAAAAUAAGGGAUAUAGAGCCUGCACGUACUGUUUAUAUGAUACUUGCAGCAUGUAUUUGAAACACUGUAGGAAGGUUAUGUAUACGGGCCAUCGUUGAUUUCUUCCUGCUAAGCACCCGUUAAGAAAAAAAGGGAAGCAUUUUGAAGGGGAGGAAGAAAAAUGUACUAAGCCCGUUCACCGUAAUGGUAAACAUGUAUUUUCUAUGAUAAAGGAUGUGAGGGUAGUCUUUGGCAUGGGCUCUGGUAGCCAACCUGUUCCGAACGACGAGGACAGACAUGCACCCAUGUGGAAGAAGUCUAUAUUUUAGGAGCUACCUUAUUGGGAAGUCCUUGAGGGCUGUAAUGCAAUUGAUGUGAUGCACCUGAUGAAAAAUCUUUGUGUGAAUGUGCUUGGCUUCCUGGGUACAUAUGGAAAGGCAAAGGAUACAAUUGAACCACGUCAGGACCUAAAACGUAUGAAAGAAUGAGAUGACCUACAUCCAGAAAAGAGAGAUGAUGGACAUUACUUGCAUCCUGCUAGUUACACUCUCAGCAAGGAAGAGAAGGAAAGCAUGUUUGACUGCUUGAAUAGUAUCAAGGUGCCAUCGGGCUACUCCUCGAAUAUACAGGCAAUAAUAAAUUUUAAAGAGAAGAAAUUCAUAAAUCUAAAGGCCCAUGACUACCACGUCCUGAUGACACAAUUGCUGCCUGUUGCACUUAGGAGUAUUCUAUAGGAGAAUGUGAGAAUGGCAAUCGUGAAGCUAUGUGCAUUUCUCGACAUGAUUUCUCAGAAGGCAAUCCAUCCAAACAAUCUACUAAAGCUGUAGAAUGACGUUGUGCAAUGCCUUGUCAGCUUUGAGAUGGUCUUUCCACCUUCCUUUUUUAAUAUCAUGACCCACCUUCUAGUCCACCUUGUUGAAGAGAUUUUUGUUCUCGGUCCUGUAUUUCUACACAAUAUAUUCCCUUUCGAGAGAUUUAUGGCAGUUCUGAAGAAGUAUGUUCAUAAUCAUGCCCGUCCGAAAGGAAGCAUCGCAAAGGGAUAUGGAACAGAGGAGGUCAUUGAGUUUUGUGAUGACUUUAUGGACAACCUGAGUUCGAUUGGAGUCCCUAUAUCACGCCAUGAGGGGAGACUGAAGGAAAAGGGCACACUAGGGAGGAAAGCUCGGAUGGACAUUGAUGAGAGUACAUUUCGUAAAGCACACUUCAUGGUCCUGCAACAAUCAUCCCUGGUCGCUCCAUAUAUGGAGGAGCACAGGGCUAUUGUACGGUCCUCAAACCAAGGGAAGAUUGAGGCCCAGAUUACACGUCAUCACAUUAACACUUUCGCCUCUUGGUUGCGGCGAUUACUAAUGGGUGAUGACAUGAUUGUAGAACAACUAGCAUGGUUGGCUAGGGAUCCAUCUAUCUCUGUAUCAACAUUCCAAGGAUAUUAGAUAAAUGGGUACACAUUUACACGAGAGCCCAAGACCAAAAGAGCACAAACCAAAAUAGUGGUGUCCGUAUAGAUGCAAUAAACAAUAAUGGAAAAAAGAUAGAUACUAUGGUGUCAUUGAGGAGAUAUGUGAACUGGACUAUGGACCUUUCAAAAUCCCUUUGUUUCAGUGCCAAUGGGUGAAACUUAUUGGAGGAGGUGUAACGACAGACAACUAGGGGAUGACAAUAGUGGACCUCAACAAGAUUGGAUAGAGAGACGAACCAUUCGUCCUAGCUAAUGAUGUGACUCAAGUUUUCUACGUGAAGGACAUGUCAAGCAAACCAAUAAGAAAGGGUGCUAAUAAGUCAGAUGACCAGCCAAAGCGCCACAUAGUUCUUCCAGGGAAAAGAAAAAUCGUUGGAGUUGAGGACAAGACUGACAUUUCAGAAGAUUAUGAUCAGUUCGAUGAUCUUCCUCCAUUUUUAGUCGAGGUUGACCCAAGCAUCCUGUUAGCCAAAGAGAACGCUCCAUACUUAUGCCACGAUCACAACCAAGGGACGUUCGUCAAGAGGAAGGUUAUUAACGUUCCAUUAGAUAAUGUUGUGUAAUGUAUUAGAACCAUUAUAAUGAUUUGUCAUGUAUCCGUGUUGUAAUGAUUUGUCAUGUAUCCACGUAUGGUUUAUUAACAAUACUAUUUGCAAAAAUCUCCCCUUAUUAAAGAACUGAUUUUUGCAUGGUUAAAUAUUAACUAUUUCAAUUUUCUAUAGCACCAUUAAAUAUUAAACCAUAAAUUUACGUACAAUUAAACAAGUACAAGACUAAGUCAUGGUAAACAUGUUAAUAACACUACAGGCACUAUUUUUCUAAAAUUUUGCAUGGUUAAAAUAUCUAUUUUUUUGAAUUUUAAAGUUAACAUAAGUAUCAUGGCCAUUAUAACCUAUUCUUACGUUAAGUUUAAUAAAUUUAUGUUUGAUAUUUAACUACAUCUAAUAUUUUUAUAGUGUACAUCUAAUCAACAUCAGGAUCAGAAAUUAUUUUUGCAAUUUUUAUGAACGUUAUUUGAUUUACUACGCAAUAAAUUAAUAUAAUAGCAAUUGUAAAAGAAAGAAAAUAGAAAGAUGUAUAGGCGGGAAGCCAAAAUAGUGGGCUACAAAGCCCUUUAGUAUCGGGUGUGUUUACCCUUUUGGUACUAGGUGGUGGCUAGACCCAGUACUAGAGGAAUGGCCUUUAGUACUGGUGCUAGCCACCACCUGGUACUAAAGGCCUUUAGUAUCGGGUGAAGGCGAGCCCCGAUACUAGGGUGGGGGGAUAAAACCCCAUUUCCUUUCUUCCCUAACACUUAGCCACACCGUGCACGUCAAUUCGAGCCCACAACAAAGUUCCUCUUGCCAACGCCUUUGCCACGCUCCUCCUCCUCCACCACGCCGCCGCCCCCCCCCGGCCGUCCCAUUUCGUCUGCCACUGCGCCGCCGCACACUCCACCACGGCUGCCGGCCCGGCCGCCCCUCCUUGCAAUCCCCCAUGACGUGGCCUCCUCGCCAAUGAGCCGCCAUCGUCCCCCCCCCCCCCCCGACGACGUGCCACCAGCCUCCUCUCUGCUUGCCCACUCCACUGCCGGCUGUAGCGGAACCACCCAAAUUAACCUGACCAAAAUGCACUUAAGUCACCUGACACGUGAUCAUGCACUUUAAGCAAGCCAACUUGGUCAUCUGUCGGAGUUCAUCCGAUAAACCACUUACUCAGGAUCGAGAAGCAUUGCUCACGCGAAGGUGAGUGGCACAGAGAUUACAACAUUUCCAUCAUAUUAACAUAGUUCAAGACUUUAUUACAUCAGAGUUUUCGAAAUCCAAAUAGAGUUUGCAAGGUUGUAAACAACGAGAAUUUAAACGGCGAAAGCUACACGAUGAUACAAAAUACCAUGGCGAAGCCGACCAUGAUAUCCAUUUCAACGAUCCACGCUAUCUGAGGCUGGUUUCCACUCGACCGACCAACCCGGAGGGAGUUGGGUCAGCCAACUCAAGCUGGCAACCAUUUCCUUGUACUCAGCACUACCUGAAAAGAUAGCCACAAGCAAGGCUGAGCAACUAGUACUCAGCAAGACUGACCCGACAGGUGAUAACUACUUCACCGACUCCUAGUCAUGCAAGGCUUUUUGGUUGUGGGUUUGUUUUUGCCAAAAGCGCCUAGAGUUGGUCCUUACUUUCAAUAAUUUAGCUCAAGUUAUAAGUUUAUUGACCAGUCUAAAUUAGCAACUUAUACUAAGCAAGCAUUGUUUCCAAACAAUUAAAGACCAAGCAUCAAGAUUAAUAUCAUCAUGUUCCAUCUUUACUCAGCGCAGAAUAGCGAUCAAGCAGUCCCAAACUGUGAGAGGCAGACGAAUCAAUUCGAAUUUAUUAACCAUGCAUGGCGAACCUAAUCCCACGAUAUCCGCGCACAACGAAGGGUUGCUUCACUUGUCAGCCGCCCCCAUCGAUCCCCAGGCACGUGUCAGGGCCAAACUUCCCUUGGCAUGCAAUGCUCCAUAGUCCCAGCCUCUUGUCGUACUGUGACCGCACUUGCACCCACAUGAUGCACCAUGGGAACCCAGGGACAACAGGAGUAUAAGCCACGCCCCAGUUCAAUCAAGUACUAGGCUUCCCUAUCCCAUACUAGGUAUGAGAUUAGUACUUUCAAACACUUGAUCACGAACGCCGACAUGUUUUGACCUUAGCAAGUUCAUUACUAGAUAGACGGGGCAAACCACCACAUUAGAACUAUUCCCGGUCCCGCCCGUCAUCCUUAUGGUUGUAGCAUCAGUAAACAAACAACUCCUAUAACUCGCGAGUGACAGACAAUCACUCGACUUUUACCGAGUCCUAUUUAGUAUAGCAACUACUCGACCUUAGCAACUAGUGUUCAGAUUCAAAGGUAUUAAGUUCAUGCAUCUAUGGUUUCAAUCAACUCCUACAAACGUAAAUGCACAAUCAUAAGCAUCAACAUAUUGCAUAAAUCUAAAAUAGGGAAGCAUGCACCGGGGCUUGCCUUCAGGUUCAGGAAAAGUUAGCGGGUCCUCAGGGUCUUGAUCUAGCUCGGGCUCAACUUUCGCGUGAUGUAGCUCUGCGGCGGGUUCCUCUUCCAGCGUAGGGUGGAGCUCGUAGGUUCCGGCGGCGAUAUUAGCUUCUACACGACAUGCACAUGCAGAGAGUUCAGAUUUUUCCAUGCUUUCGUAUGAAUGAUGCAAGGCAUGACUUAUUGCUGGAAUGAAAGUGCACCUCGACCACAUUCACCUAAACAAGGUUUUAAUUUUCAUAACUUCAUGAAGUAAGGUGGCUUGUGGUUUAAAACUCGGGGUUGACUUUGAUGUGGAUUGUGUACAUAUUUAAGAUUCUUAAGACUUAGAGUUCACAAGGAAGGUGGGGUCACUUUUAGGAUUGUUCGGGGUUCAUUUGGAGAGUCAUUUAUUUCUGAAUGUUUUUUUACCUUUCCAAAAAUUACCCAUUAAGUUUAUUAGGACUUACAUUUCUUUAUUCACUUAAACUGAUUCCUCAUCCAAAAUUUGGUUCCACAAGCAAACAGUAACAUAUGACAUUGAGAAAUUUACAAAACCUUACUUUUAUCCUCAAUGAGUUACUGUAAAAAUUUGGGAUCCAAAGGAUGGGUACAAAAAUAAUUAAAAUUGUUUUAUUAACCAAGGGUAGUAUGUACUUAACCAUUUUUAUCUCAAAACCUACAGUGAUUCAGAGGGUGAAACUUUAACAGUGGAUUGAAGGCAUGUUACAGAGACUUUGGUGAAUUUUUCAUGAUGUUUAGAGAAGGACAUCUAUUCCCCAUAUUUUUCUCCUAUUUACCUAGCUCUAAAAAGGAAGGUGGGCUUCAUUAAGCUUCAGUCAAGGUUUCAUAUUUUUUCUAUGAACUACACUUCAAAGCUAAGCUACUCCAAGUGGUUUCAUAUUUUUCUCAGCUUUGGUUUAAAACUUAUGUAAAAAGAAAGAUUUAACCCUAGAUUUCAAAUAUAAAGCUAAAACAAUGAGUUAAAGUUCUACUCCAGGGUCUUCACUAUUUUUCCAAGCUUCCAUACUCAGAAACAUACACCACAGAGUUGGAUUUAUCUUUUUAGCAUUUUUCUUUGAUUUAUUAUGAUUUAAAAGGCCUAAGAAAGAAAUAAAACUAUAGGGUAUUAUUUCCAACAGUAACACGGGCAAGAUUAUUUUUGUAAAAAAACUAGACAGUUCACUGAGUCCAACAAAAGUGGUUUUACAUUUUUCUGAUUUUUCUACGAUUUAUGGUGCAUUUACAAAGUUUAUCCUAUUUUCUGCCGAUUUGAAACAAUAAACCGAAAACAACUUACAAUCUAAACCUCGUGUCUAUGGUUUAUUCACGCAGGGGGUCCCUAGUUCUUGCGCUAAGGCCCCUGGAAAAAGGUAAAAGACACAGGGAGGCCCUUGCGGCGGCCGGCGGCGAGCUCGACUCGAUUCCAGCGAGUCUCGGGGUCAAUCGAGGGCAAGAACAGGCGUUGGAGACGCGGGAGCUCACCGGGGAGGGAUUGGCAGCGAUUGGGGUGUCGGAGUGGGCUCGGUGGCAGUGGAACAGCUUGGGGACGGGAGGCGACUUCGGCGGCGGAGUCCCGGUGGAGUUCCAGCGACGACGGGGCUCCGGGAGGGCAACAAGCUGCUCGGGUAGGAGCGCGGGGUGAUGGCGGAGCUGGCGCUGGAGGUGGCGAGGUACGGGGAGCGACGGAGACAGGGGCUCCACGGGAGGGUGAUGCGGUGGCGCUUAGAGCAGAGGAGGCGGCAGAGCUUUGCGGGUGUGGGGAGCUGCGCAGGCGGCGCAUCGACUCCUUUUAUAGGGUCAGGGAGGUGCGGAGGGCGAGAGCGGAGCCAAUGCUGGUGGCGAACGUGGCUGGAGGCGAGCGGGGGAGAAGAACAGGGUGGUGCCAUUGGCCAGCGACACUCACUGGCGGAGGGAUGGCGCGGGCGUAUGCGAAGAUCUUCCGGUGAUUGGGUGGGAGAGAUAGGAGGUGUGCGAGAUCUUCUUUAUCUGGCAGAGCGAUUGGGCAACCCGGGGGGUCAUCCUGUCAUCGUCGAGCAGCGGAUUGGGGAGGUGGAGCUCGGCCAUCGUGCAGCCAUGGCGUGGCGGAAGGGAGCAGCAGAGGCGCGGCGCAGCAUUGGGCGAGGGAGAUGCUCGGGCAGAGGAAGGAUAGGAUCACGCGGUCAUUGGGCGUCCCGGCGAGCGAGUUGUCCCGUUGUGGCCGUCGGUUGGCUGUUGGCGAGCUCGCUGGGCGAGCGACGCUCGGGCGAACAUGCCGGGCGCGUUCCGGGCGCGCGCUGGGCGAGGUGCGCCUCCGGGCAGUCCAAAAGGGCCAGUUUUGGGGGCCUUUUUCUCCAAAAUUUUCAAAAGAACUCAUGAAACUCCAAAAGUAAAAUAUGUAGACCUAACGUCCAGCUCCAAACUUUACAAAAGGAGUUUGCUUCAAAUCAAAAUGGAUUUGAAUUUAUAUAUUGAUUUGCAAAGUUCAGCAAAAUGCCGGCCUCCAGGGACUUGGACAGAUCUUGGUUUUGCUGUUUUUCAGCAUUUUGGCCGACUUUGGCUCAGAUUUUGAGUAGCUUCCCAUUUGAAUCAGGCCAAGAUGUAAUUGAAGGAAAAGUUCUUCGAUCUUAGGACUCUAACUUCUAUUCGGGACUUUUCUUGAGUUUAGUUCAGCUUGUAGUAGGAACGUGCUUGCCCAGAUGCGCGCUCUGGAUGUUUUCCAGACAUAGCGCUGGGAUGUAAGUAGGCUGAGUUAACUGUUUUACACGGUUUUGACCAAGUUUUUUAGCAGGUUCAAUUGUGAUUUGGUCCUGGGUCAGUGUAACAAAGUUGUAACACACUCAAGGAGGGCUCAAAAUCAUUAGGAUUUAGCUAAGCAAAAGUAGAAAGUAUGCAAAGCUUUAAUAGAAAACUAAUUAUUAUCUUGGUUCAUUUUACUUAUGAUAACUUGGGAUAAAAAACGAUAAUGAUUUGUGGGACUUGCCUUCCUCGAAGUCCAGAUCAUUCAAAGCUUCUUCGUAAUUUUGGUCGUCAAAGCAUUUCCGACGUCGUCAUUUUCUACAUUAUCAUAGUUAUGCGUAAACAUUCAAGCAAACAAUCAUAGCAAUACAUCAAACAUGGGUUAAAUAAUUAGAAUUGGGGUUUAGAAGGCUUUGAUAAUUUCCUAGAAUUUUCUAGGAUUUUUCUGGAAUUAUUUUGAGUGGUUUCCUAUUUUCUGGUCACAUGAAAUAUGGAUUUUUCUAUUUUAUAAAAGGGAUGAGAAUUAGUUUGGGGGUUAUAGAUGUGAGAUUUAUGCAAACAAGGUAUGUUUGGGUUUAAAAUGAUCUCUAGUAUUUUUGAGGAAUUUUUGGUGAUUUAAUUUUUGGAAGUUUCUAACAUGGCUAGGCGAAAAUUGGUGUGCAUGAGGAACAAGGGGGAGAAAGGGAGAGAGGCUGAUGGGUGGGCCAGGUGGUGAUGUGGUAGGGGAGGCCCGUGCGGUCUGUGUGGCAAGCCACAUGGUAUGCCCUAGGGCCAGGUGGUGGACCGGGGAAGGCGUGUGUGUGUGGUGUGGAUGGGCGCUGGGGAUUGUUUGGAGUCGAGUUUUGGGCGUGGGAGCGGGUAGGGAUGUGUAGCGCGUGUAGGGAAAUGGUUGGAAAGAGCCGCGACCAAUCAGAGCAUCGCUGACGGCUAGCCACGAUUCUGGCAGCGUGGCGGCUAGGCGGAGCGGAAGCUAGAGUGGGUGAGAGGGGAGGUGGUGGUGCGGGCAGCAUGACGGCCGUACCUGAGGGGCACCGAGGGCUCACGCAGGCAACAUGACAGCUGGAGUUGGCCGGCAGCGAGCUAGCAAUGGGGGGAGCGGUGGCGGAGGUGUGGCUGGCGAAGAGCGGCUGGUUGCGCGGCGGUACAAUGCCGGGAGGGGGCUAUUGCUGCAUAGCAACCCCGACUUCUACCCGGCCCGGCUCUAGGGGAUAGAGCGCAGCGGCGGGUGGGGGUGGUGUAGCAUGGUCCUAUUGCGGCAAACCGGUGUGGUGUAGAGGGGAAAGGAGGAGGGGAGAGGAGGUGAGGAGCGACGGGGAGGGCUAUUUAUUGCUUAGCGGAAGGGGCUGGGGUGCUCGGGCGGCCUUGGCCGAGCUUAUCCGGGUUAGUCAGGCGCCAAUGGUGCGAUGGCGCGUGGUGCUAGUGGUGGGGGUGGAUAGGGCUGGGAGAGGGGAUGCCAACGGGGGAGAGCGUGGUCUUGGAUGUGCCUGGUGCUGACACAUGUGUCACGCUUGCCGAGGAGAUGAAUUGGGCUGGGAUGGAGGAGAUCAGGGUGAGCUUGCAGGUGGCCGCACUCUAUAGCGCGGGUGAGUGAAUAGGGAUGGUCGGGUACUUGAGUAGGGGGGAGGGUUCUAACAGGUGCGGGGCGUGGUGGAGGUAUAGCUGAUGACGACGCGCUCCAGUGCAGGCGAGGAGGGUGGCCAAAGGGUAGGAUGUGGUGCACAGUCGGUGUGACGUCAUGCUUGGGUGAGGGAAAGGGAAGGGGGCAGGAACCAGGGGUAGAGGAUGAUCACACCGUGGUGACGUCAUUGUAACGUGGUGCCGCCGGGUGUUGAUGCAAAAGUCCAGCGCUUUAGGUUUCCAUGCCGUGCAACACAUGAGGACCUGGGAUAUCUACUUCACUUCAGUGCAGGCUCCAAAUCGGUUUGUGAGUGGUGCAAAGGCGUGCCAGUCAAUUUGACCUGAAAAUUCCUGAGCCGAUCAGUUGUAAAGCCUUUCGAACUCAUGGGUAGGUGUUCUUGGAAUAAACACCACGAUAAAUAGAUAAUUAAUGUAAUACAUGCGGUGUAAGAAAAUAAAGCAAUCAUGGCAUGUGCCAUGGGCUAUGUUAGCCGAUGGGCUAAGAAAAAGCAUUAAAAGCAAGGCAGCUAUAAAAGCGGGGAUCCCCAUUCACCACGCGCUGAUCAUGUAAGCUAGCACAUCUAUCCAAUGUCAUGGUUGGGUAUUGAACUUAGAAAAGGUAACCCCAUGAGAGGGCAAAGGCAUCCAUCUACUAGCUUACAAGACCAGAACAUAGAAUAAGGAUCAGCCGAUGGUAACUGUACACGAGCCAGAAACAUUAACAGAUAAUGGUUGACGCCAUGGUUGGGCUCCUGUAGCCUUUAGACAGUAAAACCCCACGAGAGGCGUCACCCGCUACCUGCCAAUGCAUCAGACUAGAGCACAAAAACCAAGGGCCUCUUGCCUACCGCUCCAUAAGCCAAUCAAGGUAAUGAAGUCUAAUUAGUGUCAUGGUUGGGUAUUGAACUCAGACAAUUUAACCCCGUGAGAGGGCACUAAAUUUGACCCGCUAGCCUCAAUUAAAUGAGUAUCACGAUCGCAAGGCCUCGCGCACACUCCUAUUGGCUCAAUGAAAUCAGCGUGCUCCCGCGGGAUGCGGAUAAGACCCGACUGAAGCAUCAACUCCCAGUGGUAGCGUGGUGACAUUAGAGGCCAGACGGAUGGCGACGCGAGGGGCAGGGGUAAAGAUCUAUUGGCUAAAGCAUAUAUAAACCAAAGCAGAGCACGCAAAAACUAGCCAGCCUAUGUGAUCUGAUAACUAUGAAUGCAGUAAAAGGGACUAGGAAGCUGAUGAAGACAACCUAAUCAGAUCUAAAGCAUUCGAUAACCGGUGAGAAACCGAUAAAAAGCAAGCAAGAGUAUCGACAAAAGCCUAGGGACUAAUACUUGCAGAUCAAAGGUAUUCUCGAUAGCUGCUGUGAGCGCCUAGCAACAACCCCUAGAUGGAUCUAAGAAAACUCGAUAACUUAAGCACCGUCGAUGACAACUCAACGUAUACACCAAGCCUAGGGACAUUGACUUGUAAUCUAAGGUAACUCAAUAACUAGCCACACGUGAAAACAUUCCAGAAUAUGAGACCUAACUCAGAAAGUUCUGCGAGAGGUCGCCAUGAUCGGGUGACGGUACUUACAAGCUCGCAGAGAUCAAAGCUGAUGCAGCCAUACACGUAGGAAGGAACUCGUUGAAACUACUCCACUCUUACCCCUAAGGGUUUUGGCAGCUGGCGCUGAAAGGUUGUAUUGAUUGAUUGUUGAUUGUUUUUACAAGAGCUCAUAGGUUUAUAUUUAUACCCUAGAGCAAGCUAAAGUCCUAGUCGAAUAUGACAUGAACUGUUAUAGCAAACUACUCAAACUGCCUAAGAUACAAUCUCCACGCUUUCCCUUAUUUGGUGGAGCCGAUUCUAUCUCGGACUGGGCCCGCCUGGUCUUAUGUCAGCUUCUGGAAGCAUGGUCAGCUGCGGCUGGUCUUGGUCAACAUGGCUCCACCGGUAGUCUCUUUCUCUCUCCUCUAUCAGCUGUCUGGACCUUAUCAACAACGGUUAACUCUGGCCAAAAAUCGGUGUCAACACAUGUCCCCCAAUUUUGGGUAUAACAUUAUAUUCGAAUAUUCUCUUGUCUUCAUCAGUUUGAGCUGAUAAACUUCCAAAUUCCAAUUCAGUCGUUGCCGCAAUUAUGGCUUCCCUUUCCUUGGUUCCCGUGGUGGCGCCACCCUUGAUUUUCGGGAUUCACCUUGUGAAGGAAUAUUAUAAAACUUCUCUAUCCUCCCAUCCUCUAGUUCAUCUUCCCCUUCAAGCCAAGUGAUCCUUGCACUGCCGCCAAUCUGAGAUCAGAUUUCGCUUCUGAGUUCUUCUUCAAACAUCGCGCCCGCGCAAGCAAUCGCAUGCCGAUGGCUACAUCCACUACCGUCCCAGAGGUACAGUACAUUGCCGCCCUGAUUCGUAUUAUCUUCAGAUCCAAUCUCUCCUUUUGCAAACUUUUUCAUCUCCUUCCCUAGCUUAAUUUGUAGGCGCUUAGAGACCAUGUAUUGAUCCCUCUUAGUGAUGUGAAUGAUGCUUAAUUCCUUGGCCCCAUGGGUGAUACGGAUCCAAUGGACUUAAUCAAUGCCGAAACCCAACAAAUUCUGUACAAGGCUUCUUCCAUGGAUCUAUCUGUUUGGGAAGGCGAUUUCUGUUCAUGGCCCUGCAACCCCCAAGGUUGGAUGACAUGGUAUCACAGGGUAUCAGCCACCAAGAAAGUAGAAUGGGAUGAAUUGUGCAUCGGCCAUUGUAUUAAACUUUCUUUAGCCAAUAUGGAAAAAGACGAAUCCAUGCUUGCUGCUGCUUGGUACUUCUGGUUUGAUGCAUUAAAUGCCUUCUUAUUGGUGAUGGUCCUAUGUCCCCUAGUUUGUUGGACGUCUACAUGCUGACGGGGCUCAAUAUCACUUCCCCUGCUUCUCCUUUCCUAUUUCAAAUUGUCAACAAGCACAAAUUGGGCACAAGAGGCACGAUGAAUUGUAGCCGAUAUAUCAAUUCCUUUAGCAAAACUUCGGUGCAUAUAUGUACAGUUUCCACUGGAUACUCCUUGUUGUCGUGAUUGAUCAAAGCGCAGUCUAUAUCCCGGACUCUUGAGGAAACCAAGAGAUCAAUACAAAAAUCUCAUAGACAUUCUUAACAAAGCAUGGGCUCGCUUUCGUCGACAUCAUGCGGGUGAAUUCAAGGAGGAACUUGAUUUCAAGCCUGAAUUCCCGGUAUGUGUUAAAUUUCAACAUCUCGUGACACUUCAUUGAACACAACAAAUAUUUCAUAACUUCUUUUGCCAUAUAUAUAGUGUUUGAGACAGAAGCAGGGGAAUAGUUUAUGCGGAUAUUACGUAUAUGAGUUCAUCCAUGGCUUUGUAGGUCCCAAGCAUAUAACUGACCACGAAUUCAGAGUAUGUUUACAAAUUUCUUAAACAAUAAAUUAGCUCUAAUUGUGAAGACCCAUUGAUCUACUAUAUAUAUAAUAACAUUUACCAAUGACACUGAUGAUGCACAUGAAGGAAGCACUCCUCGACACGAAAAAAAUCAGGGCAAUUCAAGAACAACUCUCUGAAUUUAGUUUUUCUGGACGAGGUAGUAAAUCUAGCGGGGGAGUUUCAUAAUGAUGGAUCAAAUCUGCAACACCGUCAGGACUCGGGUUCAGAAUAGUUGAUCCCAAAUGUUGAACUUGGAAAGUUGAUGCAAUGUAAUAUUAUUCAUAUAUGUGUAUGCAUAAUAUGUCUAUAUAUAGAAAGUUGAUGCAAUGGAAAGUUGAUGCAUAUUAGAACUAGUAUACGUAAAGGAAACAAAUACGAAAUACUAAUAUAGAAUAAAGAAACAGAAAAGAAAAUGAGAAAAAAAUAGAAAAAAAUCAUUUAGUACCGGUUGGAGAGACCAACCGGUACUAAAGGUCCCUUUAGUACUAAUUAUUUUAACCGGUAUUAAAGGUCCCCUUAGUACUAAACUAGCAAUACCGGUUGCUAAAGCGGUACUAAAGGGGAUUCCCAACCAAUAUGAUGGCGCUUUCCCCACCAGUGGAUCUUCGGCAUGGCAUGGUGUGGACGCACACCAAACGACGAGCCCAAAGAUGGAGGAACUGCAUCUUUCUCGCAACCGGCCAUUGCUGCGUUCUGCAUCAACCUCCUUGGAUUCCGUGGCCUCUUCCACGACGUGACUCUACUCUCCCGUGGCCUCUUCCCGCAGACACAGAGGCCUGCAGCCGUUGAAACCCGUAUGACUUUGGCUCCGAUGGAGCCAGUUCCUCGCCAUCCCGUGGUCCAGGUUCACUAGCAGCCGGGUGAGAAAAAUUAGCGGAGCUCCCCGAGAAAAAUCUGGCCACACAGCUAACGAGUCACGACGGACACCGAGAGACCGAGACCGCAGAGGCCAGGCAAGCCGCAAGCGGCGACUGCGAGAGGCGGCCAAGCCGAAGCGCUAGCCGCCAGCGUGGAUCGCCAUCCCGCCCCGUGGUCCGGAAGAUAAGGGGCGCCGCUAGGUGCCGACACGUCACGCCAGACGAGAUCAGGAUAGGCCAGCCUGGCCGGGUGACGCCACCGGCGAACGGUGGCCACUCCUGCCACAUCCGGUCGUCCUGCGCCGGAUGGGAAGAUGGGGCGCCAUGGAGCCGCUAGGCUAUAUAUAUAUGCCGCCGGUGGGGGAGCCUACAGGGACUCAAGCAAGCCUCGCUCUGCUUCCUCUUCUCCUUGGUUAAUAAUACUAGUAGUAAGCAUAUACUAGCACUAGCUAGUAAGCCAUGGCGCCGACCGUGAUGGCCUCGUCGGCCACCUCAGUUGCUCCAUUCCAGGGGCUCAAGUCCACCGCCGGACUCCCCGUGAGCCGCCGCUCCAUCAGCACCGGCUUCGUCAGCAACGGCGGAAGGAUCAGGUGCAUGCAGGUAAUAUAAUCGAUCGAUCAAGACACUGGAAUUAUAUUCUUGCUGUUUGUUCAUAGAAAUAAUGCAACUCAAUAGGAAGUUUAGGAACUGAUAUGAAAGUGUCGUUGCUCAGGUGUGGCCGGCGGAGGGCAACAAGAAGUUCGAGACCCUCUCCUACCUGCCACCUCUCUCCACGGACGAGGUCCUGAAGCAGAUCGACUACCUGAUCCGGAAGAACUGGAUCCCCUGCCUUGAGUUCAGCAAGAUCGGGUUCGUCUAUCGUGAGAACAGCACGUCUCCCUGUUACUACGACGGGCGCUACUGGACCAUGUGGAAGCUGCCCAUGUUCGGCUGCACCGAGGCCACCCAGGUGUACGCUGAGUUCGAGGAGUGCAAGAAGGCCUACCCCGACUGUUACAUCCGUAUCAUCGGCUUCGACAACAUCAAGCAGGUGCAGUGCGUCAUGUUCAUCGCCUACAAGCCCCCGGGCAGCGAGUAGACCGGCGGCGCCAAAUAAAAAGCUUAAAUACCUGUCCGUCUCAGUUCAACACCGCUUGAUUAUCUCCAUUUUUCCCCAUCUGAACGCUUCUGUAACUAUUGGGCGAGCAUGCGUGCCCAUGAGCAAUGCUACCAUUGGCUUGCUAAACAUGUGAAUGCAUGGUACAUAGCUCCGGCUAUACCUUUGCACAUAGUGAUAUAUUUACACGAAUGUAUACACAGCGAUCAUAUUCAUACGACAAUGUACCACUAGAUUGCCAAUUCGUUGGAACAUUAUAACAUGGUUGUUUUACUUACGUAAAUGAUCAUAUGAUAAUACAAGGAAAAAGUGUAUUUUUCAUCCCUC
rnacentral:lncRNA from 1 species